GACAGAGGGUGCAAACGUUGUUCGGAUUUACUGGGCGUAAAGCGUGUGUAGGCGGCCUUGCAAGUUGGCUGUGAAAGCCCACGGCUCAACCGUGGAAGCGCAUCCAAAACUGCAUCGCUCGAGUCUCGGAGAGGAAGGUGGAAUGCUUGGUGUAGAGGUGAAAUUCGUAGAUAUCAAGCAGAACACCUGCGGCGAAGGCGGCCUUCUGGACGAUGACUGACGCUGAGACACGAAAGCGUGGGGAGCAAACAGG
rnacentral:rRNA from 1 species